AACGAACGCUGGCGGCAGGCCUAACACAUGCAAGUCGAGCGAGAUCUUCGGGUCUAGCGGCGGACGGGUGAGUAACGCGUGGGAAUAUGCCUCUUGGUACGGAAUAGCCUCGGGAAACUGGGAGUAAUACCGUAUGUGCCCUUUGGGGGAAAGAUUUAUCGCCAAGAGAUUAGCCCGCGUUGGAUUAGGUAGUUGGUGGGGUAAUGGCCUACCAAGCCGACGAUCCAUAGCUGGUUUGAGAGGAUGAUCAGCCACACUGGGACUGAGACACGGCCCAGACUCCUACGGGAGGCAGCAGUGGGGAAUCUUAGACAAUGGGGGCAACCCUGAUCUAGCCAUGCCGCGUGAGUGAUGAAGGCCUUAGGGUUGUAAAGCUCUUUCAGCUGGGAAGAUAAUGACGGUACCAGCAGAAGAAGCCCCGGCUAACUCCGUGCCAGCCGCCGCAGUAA
rnacentral:rRNA from 1 species